rnacentral:ncRNA from 2 species
AUGCAAUUGAAAGCGCCAGCACGUGUUUUUCCACGUGGACGAGGAGAAGGAGGUCACCGGUAAUUUUAAAAUCGGUGAGUUAUCGAAUUUUCGGCGGAAACCUUCCGGUUGUCACGACCGUUAGGGUCCUACAAAAACUGCGGGCAACUGCAGAACAAAAAGGAUCUAAGUGAAUUU